rnacentral:lncRNA from 1 species
UUUAAGUAGAAAAUAAAAAUCCUACGGAAAAGGGCCUAAAAUGCCCAUUUACUAUAUGAAAUAGGACAUACUAGCCUUCCGUUAAAAGUUGGUAUCUAUUCUGCCCUUGUCGUCAACAAAUGUGCUCGUAUAUGCCCUCCAUCACUAACGGGAGACUCAUAAAGCCACGUGAAAUAUAUGUGAGGGCAAAUUAGACCUAGUUCAAAUUGUACAGGGGCAUAUAUGAGUCAGUUAUAAUAAUCAUUUCUCAAACACUUCACAAUUCCAUAUCAGUUUACUUAGACACCUAUUUGACAACACCAAACUAAUUAUCAUAGCAAAUAAACUCAGUCAUAGACACAAUAAAUGAACAACAAUGACUUCAUUAAAUCCUUGUACAAAAACAUAAUGCUUCAUUACAUAAUAAAAGACAAUAAUUAAGCCACAAUAACACUAAAAUUAUAAAUUAUUUCCCACUGAUCCAAAGAACAUAAUAAAACAUCCCAAUAUCACACACAUGAAAAUCCACAUCUUCUUCCGAAAUUUAGCAUCAAGCACAACUGAGUACUCUAAAUGUCAUGACCCAAAAUCUCAUCCGUCGUGAUGGCACCUAUCUUAAUACUAGGCAAGCCGACAAUCCCAAUAAACCACCAUAUCUUAUAAGUUUGAAAACAUAAUAUCUAAAUUUAGCGAAAGAAAAACUCACAAAUACAUAUAUAAACACUCCCAAAACCGGGUGUUACUGAGUACAUGAGCAUCUAAUAUGAAUACAAGUCUGAAAAAUACGGUCCAUAAUAGUCUGAGACCAAAUGCAGUAAAUAAGGAGAUAGGAAAGGAGGGGCAAGGUCUGCGAAACACGACAGCUACCUCUGAAUCUUCGAAAAAUCAACUGUGCUAGAGAAUCAACACCCGCUAUGUCCGAAAAUACCUGGAUCUAUACACGAAGCGCAAGGUGUAGUAUGAGUACAAUCAACUCAGCAAGUAACAAUAAUAACUAAGGAAUUGAAGAUAAUGACGAGCUACACAGUUAUAGUUCAUUUUCAAUAAUUCCAACAGAGAAUAGAUAUGCUUUUAAAUCCAGCAGUUUAAGUCAAAUCAAUUUAUACAGUUCAAGUUCAUAUAAUUUGGAUAUAAAAUCUUUCAGAGAGUUUCACAAUGAUGACAGAUAGCAACUAAGUGCAACGACAAAUGAAAGCAAGUACAGCCUCUCAGGCAACAGUCACUCAACUCGUCACAAUAACUCAAUCAUUCGGCUCUCAGCCCUCAGCACUCACACUCAAUGGGAACCUGCGCUCGCUCGGGGUAUACAAACUUCGGAGGGGCUCCUACAGCCCAAGCGCUAUAAUCUGCACGGACAACUCACGUGCCAUAAUAUAAAUAUCUGGAUCCGUACGGCCAACUCACGUGCUAUAGUAUAAUAUAAGGAUCCGCACGCCAACUCACGUGCUGCACGGCCAACUCACAUGUUGCACGGCCAACUCACGUUCUAUAGUAUAAUAUAAGGAUCCGCACGGCUAACUCACGUGCUAUAGUAUAAUUUAAGGAUCCGCACGGCCAACUCACGUGCUGCACGACCAACUCAGUCAUAAAGCUCUCCAGUCUCUCGGGCUCUCCACAAUCAUAAAAUCAGCCCAAACAACAAUGAUAUGAUACAUCAAUAAUGAAAUGAACAAUAGAGACUGAGAUAAAAUAAUCAAGUAAGUUGUGACCGAGUACAAAAUAACAAUUUAAGCAGAUAAUUCACAUGUACACGACCUCUGCGAGUCCCAACAAUACCAACAUAUAGCCUAACAUGAUUUCUAGCAUAACUUAUAGUCAAGUUUCCACAACACAUAGAGAGCACAUAACUAUCAACAAGUUAUUGAGCUUUACAGUUUCCAUAGGACGGACCAAGUCACAAUCCCACGGGACGGACCAAGUCACAAUCCCCUCGGUGCACGCCUACACCCCCACACGCCCGUCACCUAGCAUGUGCGUCACCUCCAAAAUAAUCACAUGACACCAAAAUUCGGGAUUUCAUACUCUCAGGACCAGAUUUAAAAUUGUUACUUACCUUAGAGUGUGAAAUUCUUUACUCUACUAUGCCCUUGCCUCGCAAAUAGGCCUCUGAAUGCCUCGAAUCUAGUCACAAUUAAUUCAUUUCGGUCAAUAAAAUUCAUUGGAAUUAAUUCCAUAAGAAAAUGCUAAUUUUUCAUAAAAAAUCGCCCGUGGAGCCCACAUCUCGGAACCCGACAAAAGUUACAAUCAAAUCCGACUCUGAAUCGGUGUUCAAAUCCCAAAAAUUUAUUUUAUGAAAUUUCUAUAAUCUUACCCCGAUGAAUUUCUUGAAAACUCACGAAAAAUCGUCUCAAACCGAGCUUCCAAGGUCCAAAAAUAAAAUAAUGACCUAAGUCUCGGUUAUAUAGUACAUUCUCUGAACUCACUAUGUGCGGUCCGCACAAUUUCAAGUGUGGCCGCACAUCCCAGCUCCUGCGGUCGCACAAAAAUUGUGCGGUCCGCACUUCGCAGCCUCUCCACUACCAGGCUUCAGUAAAUUAGCCAUAACUUUCUCUACAGAUGUCUAAAUGAUACUUAUUCACCUUUCUGGAAACUAGACACGAAGAGCUAUAAUUUUUGUUUUUGAAUCAUCUCAAAAUUCUUUGUAGAUCAAAAGAUAUAAGCUUCUGAAGUCGGACCGGCGAAUCUGCAGAACUCCCUGGAGUGCGGCCGCAGACAGAAUUGUGCGGUCCGCACUCCUCCUCCCAGGUCCACAUUUUUCACCCCAAAAUGUGCGGUCCACACCCCCAAAAGUGCCAGAAGAAUAUCAAAGUGCCGAAAUGCCCGGACUCGCUCAAAACUCACCUCGAAACUCAUCCGGAACCUCCCAGACACAAACCAUAUAUGAAUUUCAAUCAUAAAACAUGCUACGGACCUUCUCGUGUACUCAAAACACUGAAAAGAGAUUGUCUUGACCUGAUAUUGACCAUGGCCAAACUCCCAAAUUUUUUAACUUUACUAAUCUCUCAACCAAUGAUCAAAAAAUACACCCAAGCCCCUCGGGACCUCAACCAAAUAUACCAACACGUUCCAUAACAUAACACGGACCUACUCGAGGCCUCAAAUCACAUCAAAUAACAUCAAAACAUCGAAUCUCACCUCAAAUCAAAAUCUAUGUCUUGUGCCGAAACACAUCAAAUCAAUCCGGAAUGAUUUCAAAUUUUGCACACAAGUCAUAAAUUACAUAACGAAGCUAUUCAAAUUUCCAAAAAUGGAUUUCGACCCCGAUAUCAAAAUGUCAACUCCCCGGUCAAACUUUCAAAAUUUAACUUUCGGCAUUUCAAGCUUAAUUCCACUAUGGAUGUCUAAAUAAUUUUUCGGACACGCUCCUAAGUCCAAAAUAACCAUAUGGAGCUAUUGGAAUCAUCAGAAUUAAAUUUCUAGGUCGUUUACACAUAAGUUAAUAACCGGUCAACUAUUUCAACUUAAGCUUCAAACAUGAAAAUUCAUUCUUCCAAGCUAACUACGAAAUACCUUAAAACUACAACCGAUAAUUUACACAAGUCAUAAUACAUCGUAGGAAGUUAUUCAAUUCCAAGGCUUCUAUUCCUCCAUGAUCGAUAAACAUCAUAAUAUUCUCAAGAUCAAAUUUUCCUUUGGAGAGUAUUUCUUUCACGGAUUAGAGCUUCUUUUUCCUUCUUUAAACUGCAUAUGAGAUUUGAAACUCUAGGAGGUAGCUCUUUAUCUUGCCAUUCCCAAUAGGAAUAUUUUUCGUCCUAAAAAUAAAAAAUAAAAAAAAUAAAUUUACAAGCAAAUCGGGAUAAUUAAAAGAACCCAUCAAAAAAUUUACUUACCUCAUGCUUCGGGCACUUGAAAAAACUUGUCCCAGCAUUUAAAGGAGUCCAUGCUAUGAAAUAAUUGGCAGCAAGUCCGCAAUGACACCUCCUAUUCGACCCCUUUAAGCUACUAGAACAUUCUGACAUUGUCUUUUAUUAUGAUUCGACCCCUUUGAACUACUAGGAUUUAAUGAAGUCAUUGCCGUUCAUUUGAAUGUUUGUGUCUAUGACUUAGUUUAUUUGCUGUGAUAAUUAGUUUGGUGUUGUCAAAUAGGUGUUUAAGUAAACUGAUAUGGAGUUGUGAAGUAUUUGAGAAAUGACUAUUAUAACUGACUCAUAUAUGCCCCUGUACAAUUCGAACUAGGUCUAACUUGUCCUCACAUAUAUUCCACGUGGCUUUAUGAGUCUCCCGUUAGUGAUGGAGGGUAUAUACGAGCCCAUUUAUUGACAGCGAGGGCAUAAUAGAGACCAACUUUUAACGGAGAGCUGUCAUAUUCUAUUUCAUAUAGUAAAGGGGCAUUUUAGGCCGUUUUCCGAAAAUCCUAAGACUACAAAACCUAUCUAGAUAUUACUUAAGAAAAACUAAUCAAUACCAAAUCCUGAAUAAUUCAGAUUUCUCAACUCCAAUUUUAAAUUAGUCUUCAACAAAAGUUCAAGUGACUUGUAUUAAUCGAUUUCCAAACUUGCAUAGUAAUGAAAAAUAUCUUCAAAAGUAACCUGACCACUCAUGUGGCGUUUUAAGAUGUAUGAAUAAAGAAACAAAUAGAUACUAAUAUAGUUAAUGGUACAAAAUGUUACACCUUUUCCUCGUAGAGUGUGUAAGAAUUUUCGAAUAGUCACCUUUACGUCGGCUUGGAAAGCCAUGUGUAAUUACCAAAUUGUGUAAUUACACAAUUUGAUAAUUAGUAAUUAAAUAACCUGUUUGUUUGAGAGAACACAAUUACAUAAUUAAAUAAACUUUUUUCAGAUUAACCUAUCAAAACAUAUCAAAAAAUAUAUUAAAUGAUUAUAUAUUUAUAAUAAUAUCAUAAAAAUAGUAAGUAUCUUUCAAAUAAAUAAUAUUAUUACUUAAAUUAAUUAAUUCAAAUUUCAGAAACGAUUUAAGUUCUUACUAACUCAUUAAUGUGUGACAAAAAAUGUAUAUAUAAGAAAAGCUAAAUAUUAUUUAUAAUUAGAUAUUUAAAUUGUAAUUUUUAAAAAUAAAAGCAUUAGAUAAUUAUAAAUUGAUAACUAAUAUCAGAAAGAAUUAUCAGUAUCUUGAUUAUCUUUCAAAUAAAUAAUAUUUUAGCUUAAAAUAAUUAAUAUAGUUUUCAAUUAUGAAUUAAAGUUUUUACCAACUUAAAUGAGUAAAAUAUUAAAUUCAUAAUUUGUUGUACUUUUUAAUUACAACAACUACAACAAACCCAGUGUAAUCCCAUAAGUGAGUCUGGUGAGUGUACUUUUUAAAUAACAAACGGAUAAAUAUGAGUUUAGGGGGUAUUUUUUAAAUAAUUAUUUCAUACUAAUGAGUAGAAAACAAAGCUAGUAAAAUACGAAAUUAUGUUUAACAACUAAGAAAAUAAAGAAAAUAAUAAAGGAAGAGAGGUUGCGAAAUUAUAUGGAAGCACACCUUAAGUAACACGUUUGAAGGUUAAGAAAUGAGAGUAAGAGAAAUAAAAAAGAAAUAUUAUAAAAAGAAUAGUACUUAAUAUAUUCAAAAAAUAAAAAUAAAAAAAGAUCAGAAGAGUUACAUUACCUUACCACUAUUUCUCACAUUUCUUUUGAGAAUUGGAGAGUGUAAUUACAAUCUUUCAAUUACACCCAAUUUCACGGUGAUCAAGUAAUUACUUGGCCAAAUAAACAUGCUAAACUUUGUAAUUACACCCAAUUAGACCCAAAUCAAAUUCCUAGGUGGUUUUCAAAAUAGGAACUUAAUUUGGAUCCAAAUUAAAAAUCAUGUAAACAUAGUUGCUCCUGGCCAGAGUUCUAAAAAACGCGGGCGUGAAACAAAGUGCUUUAUCUGAUGUGGGGCGAUGCCUUAGCCUCGAAGCACUAUGCUUUAAGCUUAUGGAUCUUUAAUUUUUUAAAUUUUAUAUAUUACUAUUAUAAAAAUAUAUAUUAAAAAGAUAAAAUUACACAAAGUUAUAGAAAUUUGAAGAAAAGAUAGAAGAAGUGAAAUGUAUAUAGAACUAGUUCAUCUUAAAAUGCAAAUUUGAAUAAGCAAUUGACUAAUAGCCUGUUUGGCCAAGCUGAAAAAAUCAGCUUAUUUUGAGAAGUAUUUUUUCAAAAAGUACUUUUGAAAAAAGUACUUUUGGAGAGAAGUAGUUUGUGUUUGGCUACUCAUUCUGAAAAAUACUUUUGAGCAAUAAUUUGUGUGUGGCCAAGUUUUUCAGAAAGUGAUUUUAAGUAUCAAAUUACGAAUAAAGACGUGAAUAAAUUUAAAUAUUUAAUAUUAUAAGUAAAUAAAUAAUCUAAUUUUUUUUAUUACAUGCGAUAAUUAAAUCUUUUCAUUUUAUUUAAGUAAAAUAUGAAAAUAAAAUUUAAAAGUACUUAAUUCUUUUGAUAUAAGUUAAAUAUAUUAAAAAACAUUCAACAAAUAUAAAAAUAUUCAUCUCUAAAGUCACUAUAUAUUAGAAAACUAUCCUAAAAAUAAUAAGAAAUAUUUAUACAUUAAUAUCCUAAGUAUUAGGUUUAACGGUUAUUUUGGUAUACACUAUAUUUUGUUAAGGGUAUUCUUGGUAAGAAGAAAAGUUAAAAAUGCUUAUGUUUCUGCUUUUGGAAGGAAGUUACUUUUUAAUUUCUGCUUCUCAGAAACUUCCCAAAAAUACUUUUUUCCUCCAAAAAGCUUGGCCAAACACCUGAAGUUAGGAAAAAAAAGUUCUUUUGGGAAAAAAAUACUUUUGACCUCUUGAAAAGUUUGGCCAAACAGGCUAUAAAAAACUAAUCAAAACUGUUUCAUGACAAAAGCUAAUGAGACUUUGGAAAAAAAAAUUGAGUAUAAAUUUAUAAACUAAAGUGAAAUAGCAAAAUAACUUGAAAAGAAAGAAAAAAAAGAAGAAACCAUCAGAAACGUUGAACCAGAGCAAAUCAUGAAGGAUGAUGCGUUUUGAUUUUAUAGUAUUGCAAAUUGAUAAUUAUUUCCUUUGUGCGGUAGAAGACAAAGAGAAAGAGUAAAAAUUAGGGCUAGGAAUAAAAAUCUUUUGACUUUUAACUAUUUAAGAUUUUUAGAAUGUAAUAAUUAUUUGACUUUAGUGUUUUUGUGGUAUUAAAUUAAGGACUCAUUUAGCUUUUAAUUCUAUUUUGGAAAGGUUUCUCGGCUUAUGCCAUAAAAUAAAAACUUGCCCAACAUCUAGGCGUACGCCUAGGAAAUGAGCCUUAUGUCUUGUGAUACUUUCGCCUGCGGAUAGCCCCGGUGCAUAUUUACUAUGCCUCGUCCAGGGUUUGCCACGGGAUUGAUUCAAAAACGCCUUUUAAAAUACUACUCCUGACAUAUCAGCGCAAAUGCUAUAAUUUGUCCAAACUAGCUGAUUCCGCAGCACAUAGAGAGCACAUAAACUGUUGAGGUUGGCCCUAAAUCAUAUGAGAACUAGAAAGUAUAUCAGUCUAGAUCAUAGUUUAGUUUAUGUCUUUGCUUUUUACCUGUGUCAAUAAAAAAUAUCAAGAUUUUUUUCCACAAAUAGGGAAUUUACUCAGCAUUUCUUGAACUAUAUUGGAGCUUUACAAAGUGGCAGAAUAUCUCCAUACAUGGAUGCAGUCGUUUAUUCAUAUGACUGUUGAAUUGCUAGUCGAUGAAAGUUUAUUUUUGUUUUCGUUUUAACGAUUGUUACUAAAGUUACUUAUCAAUGUAAAAAGCUUGACGUUUUGAGCAGAUCAUAUGUUUGCUAAUUCUAGUUUGGAUAUUUGAAUAUCCAAAUUCUUUUAUUUUUCAGAGUUCCAAAUAUAUCCAUUGACUAAGAAGUUUUCUGUAUUUUAUAAAAGACUAUCUAAUGAAUGUUUUGGGCUUGGACUUAUAAGGAGGAGUUCCAUAUCAGAGUAUUCUCAUUAAGCUUUUCCACAUUUCAAAAGGAUUUUGAAAGUUGAAACAUAAUUUUUAUUUUUAAGUGAGAAUGGAUCCCAGUCCAAGUGGGAUUCGGUAACAUCAAUCAAAUAUACCUGCAUGAAUCCCAGUCCAAAUAGGAUUGGGUAAACAUCAAUCGGAUAUUUAUAUUUGCAAGCCCCAAACCCUUUUCGGUUGGCAAUAAUUGAUUGAUGGAACCCAAAUUCCGUUAGCCCGCCAAUUUCAAACUAUAGUGCGAUUUUCUUCUCCUGCGAUAUCAACCUUAAAAGAUGGGAUGGGGUCUGAAUUAAGGAAGUGGGUUUCAGACAAAUUAAUGUCUCACAGCCCACAGUUGUUACUUGUGUUCUUAAUCUUUCUAAGCAAGCUUCAUCAGCUGCUGAUCUAAAAAAUCAGCUUGUUGAUAUGGGAAAGUCUUCCUCCGACGAAAUACGGGUGUUUGCUCAAGAAAUUUUUGCUAGAGUUGAGCGUAUAACGACAUGGCCAAAUCUUUAUUUACAACAAGAAAAGGAGGCUGCAAUGUUGGCGAGGAAGCAAAAGACCUGCACACUUUUAGAGGCUGAUGAUGUUGACAAUAAUGUUGGUGAGGGAAGUAGUUCUAUGCCCUCUCAGACUAGGAAAGAGGAUACCCGUAAAAAGAUAUUCAGGAGGAGGGUUGAGACUCAUGAAGACGAGGUAGUUAGGAAUGUGGAUGGUGAAAGGCACGUCAGAAGUAAACUUUUUCUGAUUUAAUACAACACCAUCAGGUAAGACAGUAACCUCAAUUCCCAAAAAAUAUGAAGAAAACCCAAGUCUUUGAUCUUAAAUUCAGAGUCUAGAGUCUAGAAAUUAUUUUAAAACUGAAAUCUCAUGCAAAUCAUCACCAAUGAAGAUGAUAUCAUCAACAUAAACAACCAGGAUGACUAGAUGACUAGGAGACCCUUUGAUGAAAAAAGACUAAUCAUUGAGUGAAUGAUGAAAACCUUUAGAAUAAAGGGCUUGAGAUAAUUUGGCAUACCAUUGCCUCGAAGCUUGUCUGAGCCCAUAAAGAGACUUUUUCAACUUGCAAGCCAAAGAGGCAGAAGAAAAAGAUGAAACAGAAAGGCCAGGAGGUAGUUUCAUAUAGACCUCUUCAUCCAACUCACCUUGAAGAAAUGCAUUAUUAACAUAAAGUUGAAAUAAAUACCAAUUUUUCUUAAUAGCAACAACAAUCAAACACUUGACAAUAGACAUCUUCACUACUGGAGAAAAUGUCUCAUUGAAAUCCACCCCCUCAACCUGUGUGUCCCAUUUAAUGACAAGUCUAGCCUUGUAUCUUUCUACUUUACCAUUAGCUUUGUAUUUAAUUUUAUAGACCCAUUUGCACCCAAUAGGCUUCUUACCUUGGGGUAAUUCAAUAAUAUCCCAAGUGUUAUUAGCUUCUAGAGCUUCAAACUCUUUUCUCAUAGCAUCCUGCCAAGCUAAUGUCUCAUUGAAAUCCACCCCCUCAACCUGUGUGUCCCCUUUAAUGACAAGCCUAGCCUUGUAUCUUUCUACUUUACCAUUAGCUUUGUAUUUAAUUUUAUAGACCCAUUUGCACCCAAUAGGCUUCUUACCUUGGGGUAAUUCAAUAAUAUCCCAAGUGUUAUUAGCUUCUAGAGCUUCAAACUCUUUUCUCAUAGCAUCCUGCCAAGCUGGAAUAGGGGCUGCAUGAGAAUAAGUAUAUGACUCAAACUCUACAGGUUGGAUAGCAGAACAGGAAAGAGAACUAGGCAGUUUAUAAAUGUAAUCCUUCAGAUAAAAGGGAUGAGUGUAUGUUCUAUCAGAUUUUCUAAGUAGGGCAACAGAGGUGGUAGAAGAAGAAGUAGAAGGGACAAAGUCAAAGAAAGCAUCAGUAAUGAGAGGAGAAGGUGAAGGAUGGUUGUCAGUAGGAGUUGAAGGGGUGGUAGCAGCAGGAGGUAGAACUGGUUCAGACCAAUAAGGUGGAACAAAAAGUGAAGUAGUUGACAAUGAGUCCUUUGACAUAACUGGAAGGGAAAAAUCUGAAGAGAAAGGAAAUAGUUGUUCAUGAAAAAUGACAUCUCUAGAGACAAAACACUGCUUUGACUGAAGGUUAUACAACUCAUAACCUUUCUUUGCAAAAGGAUAGCCAAGAAAAACAUAUGGGAUAGCUCUAGGUUUCAAUUUGUCUCUUUGAUGAAUUGGAACAGUGGCAAAACAGAGGUAGCCAAAAGUUCUCAAGUGUGAAUAGCUAGGUGUCUUUCCAAAUAACAACUCAUAAUGUGAUUUAUUCUAUAGUAACCUAGAGAGAAGUCUGUUAAUGAUGUAUGUGGCUGUGAUGAGACAAUCUCCCCCAAAUCUGAUUGGUACUUUGGAUUGAAAAAGUAAGGCCCUGGAGUCUUCUAGGAGGGUUCUAUGUUUCCUCUCCACCACACUAUUUUGUUGAGGUGUGUAUGGACAGCUAGUUUGAUGGAUGAUUCCAUUUUCAGAAAAGAAGGAAACUGCAACAUUGCUAUUUCUCAAUUCUAGAGCAUUAUUAGACCUUAUGCUUUGAAUGGUAACAUGAAAUUGAGUUUGAACCAUCAAUACAAAGGCCUUUAGGAGAGGAAAGGCAUUACUUUUGGACCCCAUUAGAUAAGUCCAAGUGCAUCUAGAGAAAUCAACAAUGGUAAGGAAAUAUUUUGAGUCUGAAUAUGUAGAAGUGUGAUAUGGUCCCCAAGUGUCAACAUGAAAAAGUUGGAAAGGCUUAGAACUAUGAAUAGAACUAUCAGAAAAUGGUAAUCUAGUUUGUCUAGCCAUAGGACAAAUAGUACAUGGAAAAGACUGUGUAGAGAAAAUAUCAGAGAAAAUUUCAGAAAUAAUUUUCAUUUUAAUAAAAGGAACAUGUGCAAGUCUAUGAUGCCAAACAAUAUCCAUUUUAUUCAUAGCAGCUUUAUUACAAGAAGGGGAAACAGUAUUUAUAGUACAAGGAAGAUGAUCAGAAAUAGACAGAGAUGACAAGCUGCUGCAGGCAGUUGACAAAGUAACCUGAGGCUGAGAGGGUUUUUUCCAUACAAAUUUUUACAACCCACUGUCCAGUUUACCAAGAUCCAGAGGUUUCUUCAGAGAAGGACCUUAUAUGAGACAUGAAAAUCUAGUAAACUGAAUUAUACAAUCAAAUUGGUCUGUGAGUUUGUGUACAGAUAUGAGAUUGUGCUUAAAGGAAGGUAGAUAAAGGACAUUGUAAAGAAUUAUAGAAUCAGUCAAAACAAAAGAGUCUGUAUAAGUAACUUUUACUUUAUAACCAUUUGGAAGAGACACUAAGAAAGGAAUAGUAAAGGUGUGAUAUUAAUGAGAUAUUCUUUAUUAGCAGUCAUAUGGUCAGAAGCACCAGAGUCAGUUAUCCAAGUUAAGGAAUCAGAUUGGUUUAGCAAAAUAGAGUUGAAACCAUAUACUACAUUCUUAGGCAAUAGAGUACCAGCAAAGUUGGCAGAACUCAUGAUAUUGAGUUGAGGUGCAGGAUCAGAGACAUGAGAUUGCUUGCUGCAACAAGGAGAGCAGUUGAGAGUAUUGCUGCUUUGUUAACCCAGGCACCAUAGAAACAUUUUCAGCAACAGACACAAUAGAGGUUUGAUUGAAAGACGUGCACUCAGAAGCAGAGAAAUCAGAGUCUGUCACCAUAUUAGCAGCUACCUUUCUACCCUUUGUAAACUUAAAGUUACCAGAAAAGCCAUGAAGCUUGUAAUACUUAUCAAUUAAGUGCCCAGGCUUCUUGCAAUACUUACAGAAGAGAUUAAAGGCCCUGAACUGACUAUCAAAGUUCACUCUUUGAGUAAACUGUCUCUGCUUCCCCUGGAAUUGCAUAUUCAGUUGGGGUUGAGUAGUUUUAUUAAGGGAAUUCACAUUGAAGGAGGCGGCUUCAGAGGUAAAUUGAGGAGGUGGGUUGACUUGUCUUUGCUUUUCAUCUUGAAGAAAAAUGUUAGACAUUAUCAAGGGAUGGUAGAGGUUGCAUCAUCAACAUAUUGUUUCUCACACCAACAUAAACCUCAUUCAAUCCCAUGAGGAACUGAUGAACUUUGUCCUCCUCUUUCUCCUUUUGGAGACCCUUUUUAGCAGCACAAUUGCAAGAAUUCGCAUAGGUGCUGCACAUUACUCCCAAUUCAUCCUAGAUUCUCUUAAGUUUGGUAAAAUAUGAAGCAAUAUCAAGGGAUCUUUGAUAGGUAGAGGCAAGUUCCCUUUUUAGUUCAAAAACUUUGGUCCUAUUUACACUACCAUACCUAUUAUUUAAUUGUUUCCAUAUACUUUUUGCUGUCUCAGUGUAUUGAACACUUUCAGCUAUAUCUAGUGAAAACGAGCUUGUUAACCAAAUAUAUCACCAUAUUAUUACAACCGUCCCAUUGUUUAUAAUCAGUGGAAGUUGGAGCAGGUUUAGGACACAAACCAUCAAUAAAUACAAUUUUGUUCCUAGCAAACAACGACACUAUCAUACUUCAUUUCCAACCUCCAAACCCACUCCUCGAAAAUGGCACAGGGACCAAGGACACACCAAGUACAUCAGACGACAAAAGGAAUAGAGGAGAUGUAGGGUUAGGAGUGUACGCGGAAGAAGUCAUGGUUACAACAAUUAACUUACCAACAAACACUUUAGAUUAAAAUCAGAAUCCAACAUAUGCAAAAGAGAGGUGAAAAUACCGGUUUUCUUCGCAACCUGAAGAAGUAAAGCCUUGAUAUAGUAGAGCAGCUGCAAGAAGUAAUGAAAAACGAGGAAACCCUAGCUCCGAGAGAAAUCGACGAAACUCUAGCUUCAACAAAAUAGAAAUCUCAGCCUCCAAUCAACACCAGAAAGUUUCAGUACAAUCUGCACCGCAAAAUAGAAUCAGUCGCAAAGGAACAUAGUGUAUUUGCCGGAAAAUCACAAAAGAAUAACGAAGCUCCGACGAAGAUGAAUCCUUAUGAAAAUUAGGUGAAAUCAGGCAGGGGUAACACCGCUCGACGUAGAUGAGCAAAAUCUAACGGAUUCCCCGCUCUGAUACCAUGAAGAAAAUAAAUCAGAAAGGGAAGCUCGUUAAUGGAGGUUAGGGCUUUCUAGAGAGUUCAUUAGAGAGAACAAACGAAGAGAGAAUGCAAAACAAUCGGCCAAACCUUAACAGAUGUGGCCUCUUCUAUUUAUAUCUUGUUUAUACAAUGUAAAAUGGCUAACCACUAAAAUGAGUAACUACUAUGCUAUAUUAACAAAGAAUGGCUUAUUAAUAACAAAAGGGCUAAACAUAAAUAGUGGGGCCAACUUAAGCCAAAU